CCCUGCACUCUGGGACAAGCCCUGGAAACGGGGUCUAAUACCGGAUAACACCCGCCGAGGCAUCUCGGUGGGUUGAAAGCUCCGGCGGUGCAGGAUGAGCCCGCGGCCUAUCAGCUUGUUGGUGGGGUGAUGGCCUACCAAGGCGACGACGGGUAGCCGGCCUGAGAGGGCGACCGGCCACACUGGGACUGAGACACGGCCCAGACUCCUACGGGAGGCAGCAGUGGGGAAUAUUGCACAAUGGGCGAAAGCCUGAUGCAGCGACGCCGCGUGAGGGAUGACGGCCUUCGGGUUGUAAACCUCUUUCAGCAGGGAAGAAGCGAAAGUGACGGUACCUGCAGAAGAAGCGCCGGCUAACUACGUGCCA
rnacentral:rRNA from 1 species